rnacentral:rRNA from 1 species
UGUGUCCUACGGGAGGCAGCAGUGGGGGAUAUUGCACAAUGGGGGAAACCCUGAUGCAGCGACGCCGCGUGAGUGAAGAAGUAUUUCGGUACGUAAAGCUCUAUCAGCAGGGAAGAAAAAUGGCGGUACCUGACUAAGAAGCCCCGGCUAACUACGUGCCAGCAGCCGCGGUAAUACGUAGGGGGCAAGCGUUAUCCGGAUUUACUGGGUGUAAAGGGAGCGUAGACGGUGCGCCAAGUCUGGAGUGAAAUUCCGCAGCUUAACUGCGGAACUGCUUUGGAAACUGGCGAACUAGAGUGCGGGAG